rnacentral:lncRNA from 1 species
UUCAUCUUCAAUCUGGCGUGUCACCUAUUACAACACCACUCUCGCUUGGCUGCGUCAAGCUUUGGCCGAGGAAAAAAUGUUCUUCUACUGUCAUGGCUAACAACCAUCAAUCUAUGAAUCAUGGAGGGAACCAAAUCACAGAUUUCACUGAGGCCAAUUACAAACGCACUCUGAUCUCUUCAAAGGAAAUACAAGAAAUAGUUCUCGAAUCCUAUAAACAUGGUUUAAGGACAUGGCGUUAACUCAGGCAGCAGCUAUCACUGAUCUAAUUCAUAUACUCACGAC